rnacentral:ribozyme from 1 species
AAGGUGGAAAAGUGGAAAAUAUAAUUAAAAAAUUAUAAAUAGUUAAUUUCAAAACCGAGCAACCCAAGAAAAUCCUUCACUCUAGUAAAACUCCUUCUAGAGCGAAAAAAAUUAACCAUGUCCAUGGUAUUCGAUGAAUUCGGUCGGCCCUUCGUCAUUUUGAGGGAGCAA